rnacentral:rRNA from 1 species
UACGUAGGGGGCAAGCGUUGUUCGGAUUUACUGGGCGUAAAGGGCGCGUAGGCGGCGCGUAAAGUCGGACAUGAAAUCAUUAGGCUUAACCUGAUGGCUGUGCCCGAUACUUACGUGCUUGGAGUGCGGGAGAGGCAAUCGGAAUUCUCGGUGUAGCGGUGAAAUGCGUAGAUAUCGAGAGGAACUCCGGUGACGAAGGUGGGUUGCUGGACCGACACUGACGCUGAGGCGCGAAAGCUAGGGGAGCGAAUGGG